AUGGAGUCGGCGGCUGGGGCGGAGACGCCGAACCUGUCGGCACCGGCGACGCCGGGGACGCCGGCACCGCUGUUCGCGGGGGCGCGGGUGGACUCGCUGUCGUACGAGCGCAAGUCGAUGCCGCGGUGCAGGUGCCUGCCGGUGGAUGCGUGGAUGUCGUCCAACGCCUGCGUCGUGGAGAUCCCCGCGCCGGACGUCUCGCUCCCCCGCAAGCUCGGCGCGGAGUUCGUCGGGACGUUCAUCCUCAUCUUCUUCGCGACGGCGGCGCCGAUCGUGAACCAGAAGUACGGCGGCGUGAUCUCGCCGUUCGGGAACGCGGCGUGCGCGGGCCUGGCUGUGACGACCAUCAUCCUGUCGACGGGCCACAUCUCGGGCGCGCACCUGAACCCGUCCCUGACCAUCGCCUUCGCAGCGUUCCGCCACUUCCCCUGGCUCCAGGUCCCGGCCUACGUGACGGCCCAGGUGCUGGGCUCCAUCUCCGCCGGGUUCGCGCUCAAGGGCGUCUUCCACCCGUUCCUCUCCGGCGGGGUCACCGUCCCCGACGUCACCAUCUCCACCGCCCAGGCCCUCUUCACCGAGUUCAUCAUCACCUUCAACCUCCUCUUCGUCGUCACCGCCGUCGCCACCGACACCCGCGCAGUGGGCGAGCUCGCCGGGAUCGCGGUGGGAGCCGCCGUGACGCUCAACAUCCUCGUGGCCGGGCCGACGACGGGAGGGUCGAUGAACCCGGUGAGGACGCUGGGGCCGGCGGUGGCCGCGGGGAACUACAGGCAGCUGUGGAUAUACCUGGUGGCGCCGACGCUGGGCGCGGUGUGCGGCGCCGGCGUGUACAAGCUGGUGAAGCUCAGGGACGUGAACGGCGAGACUCCGCGCCCGCAGCGCAGCUUCCGACGCUGA
rnacentral:rRNA from 1 species